rnacentral:lncRNA from 1 species
GAGCAAGCCAACAUCGUGCACCUUUAAUAUGACCAUGAAAGACGCCAUAGUCAACGACGACAUUAUUUCGUGUACGUUUACAGUAAAUCCUUAAGAUGCUUGUGUGCUGAUUGAUUCUGUAGCUAGCAAAUUAUGUAAAUUUUAUGCAAAAGUUGGGAAUUGUUCUGGCACCCUUAGGAGAGCCUAUGGAAAUUGAAAUCGUG